UAUCUCUGUAGAGUCUGCAUAUCAAUAAGCGGAGGAAAAGAAACUAACUAGGAUUCCCUCAGUAACGGCGAGUGAAGCGGGAAGAGCUCAAAUUUGAAAUCUUCAAGGUUCUACCUUGACGAAUUGUAGUUUAAAGAAGUGUUUUCUGUUGGAGUUUUGGUAAAAGUUCUUUGGAAUAGGACAUCAUAGAGGGUGAGAAUCCCGUAUUUGACCAUUACUUCCAGCGUUGUGAUACACUUUCAAAGAGUCGGAUUGUUUGGGAAUGCAGUCCAAAAUGGGUGGUAAAUUUCAUCUAAAGCUAAAUAUUGGCGGGAGACCGAUAGCGAACAAGUACCGUGAGGGAAAGAUGAAAAGAACUUUGAAAAGAGAGUUAAACAGUACGUGAAAUUGUCAAAAGGGAAGCGUUUGACACCAGUGUUGUUUUCUCGAAAAUCAAUUAAAAAAGUCAGGAUUUUGUAUUGUAAUUGACCUUUAUCAGCUUACUGCUACUCUUUUCUUGUCUUUUUUUAAUGCACUUUUCGUUUAACAAGUCAACAUCAAUUUCUUUUGUUGUAAAAGGGUCAUUGGAAGGUGGCUUUCUUUUCGGAGAAAGUGUUUAUAGCCUUUGGCCUCUGCAAUCGGAGAGAUUGAGGUCUGCAGCGUAGAUCCUUCGGGGUUAGAUACAUUUGUGCUAAGUUAUAGCCUUUCAUAGACAACUUGUUGACUAUGAUCAGUCAUGUAGCUUACUCGCUUAUGCUAUUUUACCUACGCUUAGGAUGUUGAUAGUCACAGCGUGUAC
rnacentral:rRNA from 1 species